GAUUGCAGGCUGCAACUCGCCUGCAUGAAGCUGGAAUUGCUAGUAAUCGCGGAUCAGCAAGCCGCAGUGAAUACGUUCCCGGGCCUUGUACACACCGCCCGUCCACACCAUGAGAGUUUGUAACACCCAAAGCCGGUGGGGUAACCUUUUGGAGCCAGCCGUCUAAGGUGGGACAGAUGAUUAGGGUGAAGUCGUAACAAGGUACC
rnacentral:rRNA from 1 species